rnacentral:lncRNA from 1 species
UUCCUGUCUACCUUCCCCAGAAGGCAUCAGGCCCCACUCGGAGGGACUCCUAGGUAGACAUUACUGAAGGCAGUCAGGUUCUGAUGGAACGGCGGAGCAGAGCCUUGGGAUGCAUCGAGCAGAGGGGCAGGCGGUGCGCUGUCCGGGCGCUGCCUGGCCUUAUCGGUCACCAGUCCUGUCCCAAGAGCCAUCAGUUCCCGCGGCCCUCAUCUAUCUUUCUCAAGGGCGCCUUGUGGAAACUAAUUACCUUGUCACAAUACAGGAGGGGAGGGACACUGAAGUACCACGAGUUCUCACAGAGCACGGAAGGACAGCACACAAUUCACAAGGUCAUGUGGAGGACUCGUCAUUGCACUUACAACUGUAAACUUGUUUGACUGUACAGCACUCUUUCCCCCCUCAAAUAAAGAAGGAGAGAAGGAAAAAAGAAAAGAAAGGGAGAGAGGGAAGAGGGAAGAAGGAAAAGCAAAAACAAGACAGGGAUGCUAGAGGAAAAGGUGUUUGUGGCCACCACUCUCCAGGCUACUUGGAGAAGGAGCUGAUUUGACCCCAGAGGCUAAAUGAGGCAGACACACACACACACACACACACACACACACACACACACACAUUUACAUGCAUCCACAUGAUAUCUCAUGACUUCCAUGGCUCUCUAGUACUACCUCAGUGCACAUGGCAGCAGGGCACUGACAUCUAGGGAGACAGAUGGCAUCUCCAAGGAGUUUAAGUUGAUUAGGCCUGUUCCUUUGACUUUGUCUGAGUCCAUGACAACCAGUAUUUACAGCAUGGGUAGGGGAAGGGAGGAGGGGAGGGUCCAAUAGGGUGAGAUUGCACUGUCCUGGAAAACUCCCUACAGGUUCCAGGGGACAGGCCAGAGUUGCUGCCACUUCUGCUCUUUCACUGCGGGCCCUGAGAUCACAUGCUCUGUCCAAGGCCUGAGAGAAUGGUAGUGGGGGAAGGGCUGUCACUAUUAAAUGAGUGCAUGGGCCCUCCAGUGGACAAAAGAGAGAGUGCCCUUGUUCAUGACACUUGGAGGGAGAACUAGAGAAGGCCUGGACUGCAUCCUGGAGACCUCUAGUCCAUUAGGAAAGUGCAUAUUGCUCUCCACUUCCCAAGCACCAAACGCUAGUCCCUCAGCCUCUGGCUGCAUUGCCCCUAGAGGCACAGCUGCAUCCACAUAAGGGCCAGGACUGCCAUGAUCCAGAGGGCUGCUGCAGCCUUCAGUUUCUUCAUAGAGCAAUGAUUUGUCCUGUGGGUUCGGUGAGGGAUGGGGAGUGGCAGAUGUCAGAAAUUUUUUGUUUUGGGGUUUUUUUUUUCGUAUCGAGGAUCAAUUGUCAGAAGUUUUAAACUCAGAAGGUUUGGCCAAAAAGGAAAUCUGCUGAAAAGUCAAUACUUGAAAGCCUGACAUGCAGCCUGCUAGAGGCUGACCUGCUGGCAUCUCCCUGCCUACAUUCUACUCCAAGUCCCAUCCCCUGGCCACCAUUAGUGACACCAAAGCAAAUAUUCAUUCAGGCCAUCCCACACAGACCUUGGGUAGGUAGGGAAACUAGAUGAUGGCCUCCCUCAGCCCUUGCUCAGAAGGCCUCAUACACCCUAGGCCUGAUCUCUAUCUAGAGAUGAGGCAUUUGUCUGAUGGAAUAGGGGAGGCCAAAUCCCAGGACACCAGGUCCAACAAGGAGGUUGGAAACUUCCUGUCUUAUCUAGAGCUGCCAGAGGUGUCCAGGAUCCCUUUCUUAAGGGGUGUAUAGGCCUUAUAGAAAAGCAUGAGAAAUGUGGACCCCUGAGAAAUGCAUGGUGCAAACCAGAGCACUCUGGAGGAAGGUCAGGCCUUGAGGGUUAGGCAGCUACUGUCAGAGCCUCUCCUGGCCCCACAGUGGAGAAGCUGAUGACAGUAGGUACUUGGGUAGGGAAGUCCCAGGGAUGGAUGAUGAAAGAGUCACACAGAACCUGAGUAAGUUCUGCUAUUGAGAAGCUUCCCAAGAAGCUCAGCUUAAAGCCACUGUUUAUGUGAACAGUUUACCUGCUCCAGAUGACACUGUCAGUCAAAGACAAGCACCACAAAUCCAGCUCUUCCCAAGUGCCUUUUUACCACAAAGGAGAAGCAUGAAUCAGGUUUAGUCAGGACCUGGGGUGCCUAGGACACAGCCUGGCUCUGCCUUUGGCCUCUGCCUCUCUGGUCAAGGAUGCAGUCCAGCUCUGUCUUAAGCAGGGUCCCACUGGGAAGGAAUACCCAGAUGCCUCUGGCUGAGGGCUGGAGUAGGAGGGGGAAAUGGUGUACAGAUAUAAAUCAUACAGCAAACCUUCAGAACUUUCAUACACAUGCAUCCUAUGCAGGCUCCUACCAUUGUGUCUACAUCAGGGUUUCCUGUUUUACCUUUUAUCUUGAACAG